rnacentral:lncRNA from 1 species
CUGAUUUGGUCUCGGCUCAUUGACCUGGGAUCCCAGGAACGCUUGCGCAUCCAGGACAGCCUCGACUCUGGAGCGGGGACCCUGCGCUGCUGCGGAAAGAUCAGCUGAGUAACUGAUUUUGAGCCUUCUCCAAGGUGUACAUGUGCUGUUGACUUGCUGAUGCAGUGGAGCUUUCAAAGAGGAGUCACAAGCUGACACCAAGGCAUGUGAUUGUUUCUUGCAUCAGAAAGACAAUACAGUAU